rnacentral:rRNA from 1 species
UACGUAGGGAGCAAGCGUUGUUCGGAUUUACUGGGCGUAAAGGGCGCGUAGGCGGCAAUUCAAGUCAUCUGUGAAAUCUCCGGGCUUAACUCGGAACGGUCAGAUGAUACUGUUUUGCUAGAGUGCAGAAGGGGCAAUCGGAAUUCUUGGUGUAGCGGUGAAAUGCGUAGAUAUCAAGAGGAACACCUGAGGUGAAGACGGGUGGCUGGGCUGACACUGACGCUGAGGCGCGAAAGCCAGGGGAGCAAACGGG